UGAAGUACAAUCAGCAGCAAGGCAUAUCAAUAGCGAGGAUGGAAGUAAAAGUCGUACAAGUUCGGUAGGUGAACCUGCGGAAGAGUAUCAUCGUAUCGAGUUCUGAAAUCGGGUUGUAGCUGGCCUUCCGAGGCAUGUGCACGCCCUGCUCAUCCACUCUACACCUGUGCACUUACUGUGGGUAAUGUUCAGGAGCGUCGUUCACGCGACGUUGCUGCGUUGCCCACGUCUUUACUACAUACGCUUCAGUAUCAGAAUGUGUAUUGCGAUGUAACGCAUCUAUAUACAACUUUCAGCAACGGAUCUCUUGGCUCUCGCAUCGAUGAAGAACGCAGCGAAAUGCGAUAAGUAAUGUGAAUUGCAGAAUUCAGUGAAUCAUCGAAUCUUUGAACGCACCUUGCGCUCCUUGGUAUUCCGAGGAGCAUGCCUGUUUGAGUGUCAUGAAAUUCUCAACCUGUAAGCCUUUGUGGCUUACAGGAUUGGACUUGGAGGCUUGUCGGUCGUAUUGUCGGUCGGCUCCUCUCAAAUGCAUUAGCUUGAUUUCUUGCGGAUCGGCUCUCGGUGUGAUAAUGUCUACGCCGUGACCGUGAAGCGUUUUGGCAAGCUUGCUAAUUGUCUCUUCAGAAACAACAAACCUGACCUCAAUGACCUGCAAAUCAGGAAGGAUUACCCGCUGACUUAAGCAUAUCAUAAGCGGAGGAAGUACUCCGCUU
rnacentral:rRNA from 1 species